GGUUAAGUUAGAAAGGGCGCACGGUGGAUGCCUUGGCACUAGGAGCCGAUGAAGGACGGGACGAACACCGAUAUGCUUCGGGGAGCUGUAAGCAAGCUUUGAUCCGGAGAUUUCCGAAUGGGGAAACCCACCACUCGUAAUGGAGUGGUAUCCAUAUCUGAAUACAUAGGAUAUGAGAAGGCAGACCCGGGGAACUGAAACAUCUAAGUACCCGGAGGAAGAGAAAGCAAAUGCGAUUCCCUGAGUAGCGGCGAGCGAAACGGGAUAAGCCCAAACCAAGAGGCUUGCCUCUUGGGGUUGUAGGACACUCUGUACGGAGUUACAAAGGAACGAGGUAGAUGAAGAGGUCUGGAAAGGCCCCGCCAUAGGAGGUAACAGCCCUGUAGUCAAAACUUCGUUCUCUCCUGAGUGGAUCCUGAGUACGGCGGAACACGUGAAAUUCCGUCGGAAUCCGGGAGGACCAUCUCCCAAGGCUAAAUACUCCCUAGUGACCGAUAGUGAACCAGUACCGUGAGGGAAAGGUGAAAAGCACCCCGGAAGGGGAGUGAAAGAGAUCCUGAAACCGUGUGCCUACAAGUAGUCAGAGCCCGUUAACGGGUGAUGGCGUGCCUUUUGUAGAAUGAACCGGCGAGUUACGAUCCCGUGCAAGGUUAAGCAGAAGAUGCGGAGCCGCAGCGAAAGCGAGUCUGAAUAGGGCGAAUUGAGUACGUGGUCGUAGACCCGAAACCAGGUGAUCUACCCAUGUCCAGGGUGAAGUUCAGGUAACACUGAAUGGAGGCUGAACCCACGCACGUUGAAAAGUGCGGGGAUGAGGUGUGGGUAGGGGUGAAAUGCCAAUCGAACCUGGAGAUAGCUGGUUCUCUCCGAAAUAGCUUUAGGGCUAGCCUCAAGGUAAGAGUCUCGGAGGUAGAGCACUGAUUGGACUAGGGGCCCUACCGGGUUACCGAAUUCAGUCAAACUCCGAAUGCCGAUGACUUAUCCUUGGGAGUCAGACUGCGAGUGAUAAGAUCCGUAGUCGAAAGGGAAACAGCCCAGACCGCCAGCUAAGGUCCCCAAAGUAUACGUUAAGUGGAAAAGGAUGUGGAGUUGCUUAGACAACCAGGAUGUUGGCUUAGAAGCAGCCACCAUUUAAAGAGUGCGUAAUAGCUCACUGGUCGAGUGACUCUGCGCCGAAAAUGUACCGGGGCUAAACGUAUCACCGAAGCUGCGGACUGUUCUUCGAACAGUGGUAGGAGAGCGUUCUAAGGGCUGUGAAGCAAGACCGGAAGGACUUGUGGAGCGCUUAGAAGUGAGAAUGCCGGUAUGAGUAGCGAAAGAGGGGUGAGAAUCCCCUCCACCGAAUGCCUAAGGUUUCCUGAGGAAGGCUCGUCCGCUCAGGGUUAGUCGGGGCCUAAGCCGAGGCCGAAAGGCGUAGGCGAUGGAUAACAGGUUGAUAUUCCUGUACCACCUCCUCACCAUUUGAGCAAUGGGGGGACGCAGGAGGAUAGGGUGAGCGCGGUAUUGGAUAUCCGCGUCCAAGCAGUUAGGCUGGGAAAUAGGCAAAUCCGUUUCCCGUGAAGGCUGAGCUGUGAUGGCGAGCGAAUUAUAGUAGCGAAGUUCCUGAUUCCACACUGCCAAGAAAAGCCUCUAGCGAGGUGAGAGGUGCCCGUACCGCAAACCGACACAGGUAGGCGAGGAGAGAAUCCUAAGGUGAUCGAGAGAACUCUCGUUAAGGAACUCGGCAAAAUGACCCCGUAACUUCGGGAGAAGGGGUGCUCUGUUAGGGUGCAAGCCCGAGAGAGCCGCAGUGAAUAGGCUCAGGCGACUGUUUAGCAAAAACACAGGUCUCUGCGAAGCCGUAAGGCGAAGUAUAGGGGCUGACGCCUGCCCGGUGCUGGAAGGUUAAGAGGAGCGCUUAGCGUAAGCGAAGGUGCGAAUUGAAGCCCCAGUAAACGGCGGCCGUAACUAUAACGGUCCUAAGGUAGCGAAAUUCCUUGUCGGGUAAGUUCCGACCCGCACGAAAGGCGCAACGAUCUGGGCACUGUCUCAACGAGAGACUCGGUGAAAUUAUAGUACCUGUGAAGAUGCAGGUUACCCGCGACAGGACGGAAAGACCCCGUGGAGCUUUACUGCAGCCUGAUAUUGAAUGUUGGUACAGCUUGUACAGGAUAGGUAGGAGCCUUGGAAACCGGAGCGCCAGCUUCGGUGGAGGCAUCGGUGGGAUACUACCCUGGCUGUAUUGACCUUCUAACCCGCCGCCCUUAUCGGGCGGGGAGACAGUGUCAGGUGGGCAGUUUGACUGGGGCGGUCGCCUCCUAAAAGGUAACGGAGGCGCCCAAAGGUUCCCUCAGAAUGGUUGGAAAUCAUUCGCAGAGUGUAAAGGCACAAGGGAGCUUGACUGCGAGACCUACAAGUCGAGCAGGGACGAAAGUCGGGCUUAGUGAUCCGGUGGUUCCGCAUGGAAGAGCCAUCGCUCAACGGAUAAAAGCUACCCCGGGGAUAACAGGCUUAUCUCCCCCAAGAGUCCACAUCGACGGGGAGGUUUGGCACCUCGAUGUCGGCUCAUCGCAUCCUGGGGCUGUAGUCGGUCCCAAGGGUUGGGCUGUUCGCCCAUUAAAGCGGUACGCGAGCUGGGUUCAGAACGUCGUGAGACAGUUCGGUCCCUAUCCGUCGCGGGCGCAGGAAAUUUGAGAGGAGCUGUCCUUAGUACGAGAGGACCGGGAUGGACGCACCGCUGGUGUACCAGUUGUUCUGCCAAGGGCAUCGCUGGGUAGCUAUGUGCGGACGGGAUAAGUGCUGAAAGCAUCUAAGCAUGAAGCCCCCCUCAAGAUGAGAUUUCCCAUUCCGCAAGGAAGUAAGAUCCCUGAAAGAUGAUCAGGUUGAUAGGUCUGAGGUGGAAGUGUGGCGACACAUGGAGCUGACAGAUACUAAUCGAUCGAGGACUUAACCAA
rnacentral:rRNA from 1 species